UACGUAUGGGGCAAGCGUUAUCCGGAUUUACUGGGUGUAAAGGGAGCGUAGACGGCGAUGCAAGCCAGAUGUGAAAGCCCGGGGCUCAACCCCGGGACUGCAUUUGGAACUGUAUAGCUAGAGUGUCGGAGAGGCAGGCGGAAUUCCUAGUGUAGCGGUGAAAUGCGUAGAUAUUAGGAGGAACACCAGUGGCGAAGGCGGCCUGCUGGACGAUGACUGACGUUGAGGCUCGAAAGCGUGGGGAGCAAACAGG
rnacentral:rRNA from 1 species